CCUACGGGAGGCAGCAGUGAGGAAUAUUGGUCAAUGGCCGGGAGGCUGCACCAGCCAAGUCGCUUGCGGGAAGACGGCCCUACGGGUUGUAAACCUCUUUUGUCAAGGAGCAAGGUGCAGGUCGGGACCUGCUGUGAGAGUACCUGACGAAAAAGCAUCGGCUAACUCCGUGCCAGCAGCCGCGGUAAUACGGAGGAUGCGAGCGUUAUCCGGAUUUCUUGGGUUUAAAGGGUGCGCAGGCGGAGGCCCAAGGCAGCGGUAAAAGGGCGGGGCUCAACCCCGCGCCGCCGUUGAAACUGUGUCCGUGGAGGGCGCGAAGGGUAGGCGGAAUGCGUGGUGUAGUGGUGAAAUGCAUAGAUAGCACGCAGAACUCCGAUCGCGAAGGCAGCCUACCGGCGCGCAACUGACGCUCAUGCACGAAAGCGUGGGUAUCGAACAGGAUUAGAUACCCGGGUAGUC
rnacentral:rRNA from 1 species